UCAUCCAGUAGGAUAAUUCUGAUCUGUUAGGUCCACUGGACCUGCAGAUUUGAAUCUAUGAUGACUGCGGAACAUGAACCAUGUGAGUUAAAUCUCCGCGGGGAGCUGGGUCUUAGCAACGCCUCACUCCCAAGUCUGAC